rnacentral:rRNA from 1 species
GACGAACGCUGGCGGCGUGCCUAAUACAUGCAAGUAGGACGCAGUUGCGAACGGGUGAGUAACGCGUAGGUAACUGCCUAUUAGAGGGGGAUAACUAUUGGAAACGAUAGCUAAUACCGCAUACUAGUAGAUGGACCUGCGUUGUAUUAGCUAGUAGGUAGGGUAAUGGCCUACCUAGGCAAUGAUACAUAGCCGACCUGGUAGUGUGAUGUGCACCACUGGGACUGAGAAACGGCCCAGACUCCUACGGGAGGCAGCAGGAGGGAAUCUUCGGCAAUGGGGGGAACCCUGACCGAGCAACGCAGCGUGAGUGAAGAAGGUUGUCGGAUCGUAAAGCUCUGUUGUUAAGGAAGCGGUACUUAACCAGAAAGGGACGGCUAACUACGUGCCAGCAGCCGCGGUAAUAC